rnacentral:rRNA from 1 species
GACGAACGCUGGCGGCGUGCCUAAUACAUGCAAGUAGAACGCAGUUGCGAACGGGUGAGUAACGCGUAGGUAACUGCCUCAUAGCGGGGGAUAACUAUUGGAAACGAUAGCUAAUACCGCAUACUGUGAGAGGGACCUGCGUUGUAUUGGCUAUUUGGUGAGGUAAAGGGUAACCAAGGCGACGAUACAGAGCCGACCUGAGAGGGUGAUCCGCCACACUGGGACGGGGAAACAGCCCAGGAUCCUACGGGAGGAAGCAGUAGGGGAUCUGCGGCAAUGGAAGGAAGUCUUACCGGGCAACGCCGCGUGAGUGGAGAAGGUUUUCGGAUCGUAAAGCGCUGUUUUUAGAGAAACGGUAACUAACCAGAAAGGGACGGCUAACUACGUGCCAGCAGCCGCGGUAAUAC